UGUCUGUCUGUCUGUCCGUCUCUCCUCUAGAGAACCAGGUCUGUCUGUCUGUCUGUCCGCCUCUCCUCUAGAGAACCAGGUCUGUCUGUCCGCCUCUCCUCUAGAGAACCAGGUCUGUCUGUCCGUCUCUCCUCUAGAGAACCAGGUCGGUCUGUCCGUCUCUCCUCUAGAGAACCAGGUCUGUCUGUUCGUAUCUCCUCCAGAGAACCAGGUCUGUCUGUUCGUAUCUCCUCCAGAGAACCAGGUCUGUCUGUUCGUAUCUCCUCCAGAGAACCAGGUCUGUCUGUCUGUUCGUCUCUCCUCCAGAGAACCAGGUCUGUCUGUCCGUCUCUCCUCUAGAGAACCAGGUCUGUCUGUCCAUCUCUCCUCUAGAGAAGCAG
ensembl:lncRNA